rnacentral:lncRNA from 1 species
UGAAUGAAUGCAGUGCCAGCGAGAAACCCACACGUCCACCUUGGGAGGAGAGCGAGCCCCAGGGCUGUAAGGCUGAGGGUGCUGGGCAAGAGCUCUGCAGACCAGAGCCUCAGAGCUGGCUGUGCUUAAGAAAGGACACGUGCUCUGGGUCCUCUCAGGGAAGACGACGACAUCCGGCUGGAACACCAGACCAACAGCCCAGCUGGCUUACACCAUAAACCUCCGAAGCCAAGCACCAAAUCAACCAAGGGAAUCACCGCCACCACUGCCCGGCUCCUGGAAGGAGCUGCAACAGCCACAGGAGCAUCUGCUUCUUCACGGCAGUCAGGCCCCCAGCGUAUCCCGGGGACCCGGGGAAUCACCGCCACCACUGCCCGGCUCCUGGAAGGAGCUGCAACAGCCACAGGAGCAUCUGCUUCUUCACGGCAGUCAGGCCCCCAGCGUAUCCCGGGGACCCGGGGAAAGGGAAGGAAAUGCACACAGACUGAGGCUCUGCUGUUGGCCUGGCUGGCAGGUGCUUUUUCCUUCAUCAGUCCCUCUCCUCCCCACAAAGACCCUGAGUUGAGGGUUACCUCCAGUGCUUAGAGAGAACGGAGACUUAAGAGUGGUUCAGGAACCAACCCAGAAACACGGAUGCUUUACAAGCUAGAAAGAGAUACAACACAACGUCAUCCGGCCUGGCUGUGCAGAGAUCACACACAGGUCAGGCCUGCCUGACAAGCUAAGUGACAGCCACAGCCCUGCUGGCAACGGGGUCUUCACAAGCCUCCGUUAUCUCUUCAAGCCCUAAUGUCCCUAUCUGUAAAGGGAAGACAGCAUUUGACCCCAUUCCCGAUUAUACCUGAAGCUCUCACAGGGACACAUCUGAGUCACUGUCGCAGAGAAGAGGGUGUUACAAGACAACCCACAGCCUCCAGUCUAUCGAAUGGGUCAGCCAGGGCUACUGGUACAUGCUACGCUGGAGAACACAUGGACAGGACGACCUUGCCUGCUUCAUGGUGUAGAGUGUACGUCAACCAAGGCA